rnacentral:rRNA from 1 species
CGGAGGGAGCUAGCGUUGUUCGGAAUUACUGGGCGUAAAGCGCACGUAGGCGGCUUUGUAAGUUAGAGGUGAAAGCCCGGGGCUCAACUCCGGAACUGCCUCUAAGACUGCAUCGCUUGAAUCCGGGAGAGGUGAGUGGAAUUCCGAGUGUAGAGGUGGAAUUCGUAGAUAUUCGGAAGAACACCAGUGGCGAAGGCGGCUCACUGGACCGGUAUUGACGCUGAGGUGCGAAAGCGUGGGGAGCAGACAGGAUUAGAUACCCUGGUAGUCCACGCCGUAAACGAUGAUAACUAGCUGUCAGGGCCCUUAGGGUUUGGUGGCGCAGCUAACGCAUUAAGUAUCCGCCUGGGGAGUACGGCCGCAAGGUUA